GUACGCACAUCACAUCGCUGCUUCAUCUCUGCGCACAACACGCUGCUCCGGUGGCUCCUCCUAUUCCUUGUGAGGAGAGCUGCCUAUCUGAUUUUGGAGCUCUGGCAAAAAGCCUGAGCUCAUUGAUUACAGAUCACUGUUAAUAAAGAGCAUUUGUAAUGCAGCAGUGGUGAUACAAUCUCCACACGCCAGUUCAUGAUGGCCCUUCAGUCUCUACAAUUAAGUCGUCCAGCAGGCAUGCCCCCUGUUGCAGCUGCUCUGUCAAUCUCAUUUUGUAGUACAAAUGAUCUUAGACCCAGUGUUUGACAUGGGGUUUUAACACCAAAGAAGGCAAUUCUGCAACUUCAAAUGAGCCUAAUUGGUUGUGCGCUCAGGCGUUCACUCAAGCUGCUUCAGUCCAUCAGAGAGAGAUUUCCAACUAAUUGAACAGCUCAGAAGAAAAAGAACCACGGAAAUCACAAUGCACUGAGCCGUUUGAGAGGGUUCUUUUCUUGAUAAAAACCUUCAAAAUAAGAUAUAUAUAUAUAUAUUUGUGAAAUCAGCCACCUGUCAAUCUAGAAAGCGUUUUCAUUGGUAAAGAAGCUCUUAAUGAGAUAUGGCCUAAUAAUCAGUGGUUAUUAAUUACAAAGCCUACAGGAAGAAACUUAAUAUUUUUGCUUCAGUAAAUAUGAGUACAAAACUUGUUCUGGGGAGGGACGGAUCCAAUCUAAUAAAGCACUUCAACAUCUGUUCAAUUUUUAGCAUAGGACCUCCCAGGAUCAGAAUGCCAGUAUGUCUGAGGUACAGAAGCCACCCUUUGACACUGCAAACUCAGUAGUCCUGACCCUGUAGUUCUGAAAGAAUUGAGUUGGAUCCUCAGGGGCAAAUGGGCUAAACAGAUUCAUGUUGUCAACUUCCUUAGCUAAUUGCAUCUGCCAAAAAUCUCAUGUUUAAUUUGCGCGUGCAUGUGCGCACACACAUAAAUGAACACACAGAGUAUAUUUCUAAAUCAAGAGGAAAAAAAUAAUAAAAAGAGCUGAAAACUGUAUGCAGAAAAA